CGUAAAAUGGAUUCGUCUGCCCAAGGAUGGGUCUGCGGCCUAUCAGGUAGUAGUGGGUGUAAUGUACCUACUAGCCUACAACGGGUACGGGUUGUGAGAGCAAGAGCCCGGAGAUGGAUUCUGAGACAUGAAUCCAGGCCCUACGGGGCGCAGCAGGCGCGAAAACUUUACAAUGCGGGAAACCGUGAUAAGGGGACACCGAGUGCCAGCAUCAUAUGUUGGCUGUCCAGAUGUGUAAAAUACAUCUGUUAGCAAGGGCCGGGCAAGACCGGUGCCAGCCGCCGCGGUAACACCGGCGGCCCGAGUGGUGAUCGUGAUUAUUGGGUCUAAAGGGUCCGUAGCCGGUUUGGUCAGUCCUCCGGGAAAUCUGACGGCUCAACCGUUAGGCUUUCGGUGGAUACUGCCAGACUUGGAACCGGGAGAGGUAAGAGGUACUACAGGGGUAGGAGUGAAAUCUUGUAAUCCCUGUGAGACCACCUGUGGCGAAGGCGUCUUACCAGAACGGGUUCGACGGUGAGGGACGAAAGCUGGGGGCACGAACCGGAUUAGAUACCCGGGUAGUCCCAGCCGUAAACGAUGCUCGCUAGGUGUCAGGCAUGGCGCGACCGUGUCUGGUGCCGCAGGGAAGCCGUGAAGCGAGCCACCUGGGAAGUACGGCCGCAAGGCUGAAACUUAAAGGAAUUGGCGGGGGAGCACAACAACGGGUGGAGCCUGCGGUUUAAUUGGACUCAACGCCGGACAACUCACCGGGGACGACAGCAAAAUGUAGGCCAGGCUGAAGACCUUGCCUGAAUCGCUGAGAGGAGGUGCAUGGCCGUCGCCAGUUCGUACUGUGAAGCAUCCUGUUAAGUCAGGCAACGAGCGAGACCCGUGCCCACUGUUACCAGCAUGUCCUCCGGGACGAUGGGUACUCUGUGGGGACCGCCGAUGUUAAAUCGGAGGAAGGUGCGGGCCACGGUAGGUCAGUAUGCCCCGAAUUUCCCGGGCUACACGCGGGCUACAAUGAAUGGGACAAUGGGUCCCUCCCCUGAAAAGGGCUGGUAAUCUCCCAAACCCAUCC
rnacentral:rRNA from 1 species